GCCACCUGAGGAUGAGCCCGCGUACCAUUAGGUUGUUGGUGGGGUAAUGGCCUACCAAGCCGAAGAUGGUUAGCUGGUCUGAGAGGAUGAUCAGCCACACUGGGACUGAGACACGGCCCAGACUCCUACGGGAGGCAGCAGUGGGGAAUAUUGGACAAUGGGCGCAAGCCUGAUCCAGCAAUGCCGCGUGUGUGAAGAAGGCCUGCGGGUUGUAAAGCACUUUCAGUGGGGAAGAACAGAUUCGGGUCAAUACCCCGGAGCCCUGACGUUACCCACAGAAGAAGCACCGGCUAACUCCGUG
rnacentral:rRNA from 1 species